rnacentral:lncRNA from 1 species
GACCGCUGAAGUCGUUGUAGCUCAAGUUCAUCGCGAUUUGGAGACUCGAGAGGGAGCCUAGCUGAGGCGGUAUGCUCCCUGAAAACAAGUUUCCACCCAUCUGUAGCUCGGUUAGAUGCGUGAGGUUACCGAUGGUGAACGGUAUGUAGCCGGAUAAUCUAUUGUCGUUGAGUCUGAGGAUCUCUAGCUGAUGUAAGCUUCCUAGCUCGCAUGGUAAAUGACCGACGAAACUGUUCCGGCUCAGGUCGAGUCGUUGAAGCAUCUUGCAGUUGGAGAUCUCCGAAGGGAUAGGUCCGGUUAGAGAGUUUGACGAGACGUUGAAAGUGACUAAGUUGGAGAGUUUGCUGAUUUCUUUAGGUAGGCUUGAGGAGAACCGGUUAGCUGCGAGGUGAAGCCUUUGAAGCUUCUGGCAAAUCUCUAUCUUGGCAGGUAACGGUCCGCUAAACCGGUUUUGAUCCAGCUCAAUAGCCGAGAGAUUCACAAGCUUGCAUAAAUCUGUUGGGAACUGACCGGUUAGUCGGUUCCCAACUACUCUAAGCUGCUGGAGCGGUUUGCAGGUCAGGACACCCGGCGGGAUUUCUCCGAAUAUCCGGUUCGAACCGAGAUUCAAUAAGAUGAGAUUCGAUUGGUUGCAGAUAGAAGGCGGUAUCUUCCCUGAGAGCUGGUUCUCCGAGAAGUCAACAACCCAUAGAGGACUGUACAUGCCGAGACCCUGAGGGAUCACGCCGCUGAGGGAGUUGUGGAAGAGCUGAAGCUGACGCAUCGAAGUGAGAUUCUCGAAACCGGACGGUAUAGGACCGGUUAAGGAGUUAAUUGAGAGAUCAAGCUUCGCAAGAUUCUUCAAGCUGCUAACCUCGUUUGGUAUGGUUCCGGUUAACUUGUUCUGAAACAAAUACAACAGCUUCAGCUCACUGAUCUUGCUCAGCUCAACUGGGAUCUCUCCUGUCAACAUAUUCUCCGAAAAAUCGAUCUCCAUCGCUCUCGUAAGGUUCCCAAUCUCCCUUGGGAUAGUCCCAUUCAGAACAAAAAAAUUCUAAUAUUAUUUCAAGUUUUCAACCAACUAGGAAUGAUUUAUACGUAUGCUCAUGCUUUCUUUCUUCUAUAGUGACUAUACAAAUCAUAUUUAAUCUAUACAGAAACCAAGUAAGUUAACACGACUGCACCGGUGGAGGUAAAUCGCCGCACGUGGCGGACACAAUCACUUUCCCGGCACGUUCUCCCGACUCUAUCAGCAUCAACACUACUUCCCUCAUCGUAGGUCGAUCAGACGGCGAAGCUUUAGUACAGAGCACAGCAAUUUUCGUAACCGUGAUCAUGUGAGCAAGAAUCACAUCGUCUUCUACCUUUGUUAAAUAAGGAUCAAGUAUCUCACAUGUCAAGGAAUGAUCUCUGAUAUGGUUUCUUGUCCACGUGGCAAGAUCUCCACCUUGGUCAAUCGGUUGAACCGGAGUCUUUCCGGUUAACAACUCAAGAAGUACAACUCCGAAGCUGUAGAUAUCGCAUUUCUCCGUUACUUUCAUUGUGUAUGCAUACUCUGCAAAACAAAAUAAACCGGUUUUGAGGUUAAGUCCGGUUAAUCUAAAUAUCUAAACCGUAAGAACAUACUUGUUUGAUAUUACCGGUUAUCCCAGAAUCUAAUUGUCUAAACCGUAAGAUCAUUAACGUUUCGAGAUUAACAUCCGUUAAUUCAAAAUCUAAAUGUCUAAACAGUAAGAUAAUACAUGUUUUGAGAUUAAUCCCGGUUGACUAAGAAUCUAAAUGUCUAAACCGCAACAACAUAACCCCGGUUAACUCAGAAUCUAAAUGUCUAAACCGUAAAAAAAUACCGGUUUUGAGAUUAAACCCGGUUAACCAAUUCUCUAAACCGUAAAACCAAACCGGUUUUGAGAUUAGCCACGGUCAAUUCAGAAUCUAAAUCUCUAAACCGUAGGAACAAACCCGUUUUGAGAUUAGUUAACUCAGAAUAUAAAUGUCUAAACGGUAGGAACAUACCGGGAGCAAUGUAACCAUAUGAACCAGCAACGGCUGAGACAGAUUUGGACACUGGCAUGUCAAUGACCUUAGCCAAACCAAAAUCUCCGACAUGAGCUUCAAAGUUCUCAUCAAGCAAAAUGUUGUUAGACUUGAUGUCACGGUGAAUGAUCCUCGGUUUACAAUCAUGAUGCAAGUAAGCAAGACCUUCCGCCGCACCGAGCGCGAUCCCAAACCGAGUCGGCCAGUCAAGACCAUACGACUUCCCUCCGUGCAGAAUCUCACCCAAGCUUCCUCGAGACAUGUACUCGUACAGCAAGAGAUUCGAGUUCGAGACCUGGUGGUAACAGAAACUGUACAGCCUCACAAUGUUCCUGUGCCGGAUCUUUCCUAGCGUAAGAAUCUCCGCGCGGAAACUGUUAUCCGUGUUAUUGUUGUUACCGCCUUCUCUAUUCGAUCCGAGCUUUUUAACCGCGAUGGUUUUACCCGACGGCAUAACCGCUUUGUAAACCGUCCCGCACGCUCCUUUACCGAUGAUGUAGCUUUCGUGGAACCCCUUCGUCGCCUCGAGGAUGUCUUUAACGGUGAACCGUUCUUUCGGGACGAAGUAGAUGUCAGAUUCUUCGAAAAACGGUUCCUUGUCGCGCACGUAAGGAGGCUUUGUACCCUCCACAGGGUGUUGUCUAAGGAAAUGAACCACGAUAGCUAUGAGGAAAAGAGAUACACCGCCGACGACGGAAGACAAGAUGACAAUGAUCCUCCGGCGACGCGCGGAGCCUGAUCUGAGAGGCGAAAGGUUACUCCAAGAAGAGAGGUUAGAGUCGCAGCUUCUCAAAUGCCCGCCGCAGAGUCCUUUAUCUCCGAGGAAGCUAGUUAGAGUCAUGUUUUGAAAGAGCGGCGUGAGCGGAAGCGGGCCGGUCAAGUUGUUGUAGGAGAAGUUGCAGCCGAGUAGGCUCGAUAAGUUCUCGAACGUCGUCGGGAUCUCGCCGCUCAAGUGGUUGUUGUUAAGAGAAAGGUACAUAAGUAGAUAAAGAUUCCCGAGCUCAGGCGGUAUCUGACCGCUGAAGUCGUUGUAGCUCAAGUUCAUCGCGAUUUGGAGACUCGAGAGGGAGCCUAGCUGAGGCGGUAUGCUCCCUGAAAACAAGUUUCCACCCAUCUGUAGCUCGGUUAGAUGCGUGAGGUUACCGAUGGUGAACGGUAUGUAGCCGGAUAAUCUAUUGUCGUUGAGUCUGAGGAUCUCUAGCUGAUGUAAGCUUCCUAGCUCGCAUGGUAAAUGACCGACGAAACUGUUCCGGCUCAGGUCGAGUCGUUGAAGCAUCUUGCAGUUGGAGAUCUCCGAAGGGAUAGGUCCGGUUAGAGAGUUUGACGAGACGUUGAAAGUGACUAAGUUGGAGAGUUUGCUGAUUUCUUUAGGUAGG